AGCGAACAGAUAAAGAGCUUGCUCCUUUGAGUUAGCGGCGGACGGGUGAGUAACACGUGGGUAACCUACCUAUAAGACUGGGAUAACUUCGGGAAACCGGAGCUAAUACCGGAUAACAUUUAGAACCGCAGGGUUCUAAAGUGAAAGAUGGUUUUGCUAUCACUUAUAGAUGGACCCGCGCCGUAAUAUCUAGUUGGUAAGGUAACGGCUUACCAAGGCGACGAUGCGUAACCGACCUGAGAGGGUGAUCGGCCACACUGGAACUGAGACACGGUCCAGACUCCUACGGGAGGCAACAAUAGGGAAUCUUCCGCAAUGGGCGAAAGCCUGACGGAGCAACGCCACGUGAGUGAUGAAGGGUUUCGGCUCGUAAAACUCUGUUAUUAGGGAAGAACAAAUGUGUAAGUAACUGUGCACAUCUUGACGGUACCUAAUCAGAAAGCCACGGCUAACUACGUGCCAGCAGCCGCGGUAAUACGUACGUGGCAAGCGUUAUCCGGAAUUAUUGGGCGUAAAGCGCGCGUAGGCGGUUUCUUAAGUCUGAUGUGAAAGCCCACGGCUCAACCGUGGAGGGUCAUUGGAAACUGGGAAACUUGAGUGCAGAAGAGGAAAGUGGAAUUCCAUGUGUAGCGGUGAAAUGCGCAGAGAUAUGGAGGAACACCAGUGGCGAAGCGACUUUCUGGUCUGUAACUGACGCUGAUGUGCGAAAGCGUGGGGAUCAAACAGAUUAGAUACCCUGGUAGUCCACGCCGUAAACGAUGAGUGCUAAGUGUUAAGGGGUUUCCGCCCCUUAGUGCUGCAGCUAACGCAUUAAGCACUCCGCCUGGGGAGUACGACCGCACGUUGAAACUCAAGGAAUUGACGGGGACCCGCACAAGCGGGUGGAGCAUGUGGUUUAAUUCGAAGCAACGCGAAGAACCUUACCAAAUCUUGACAUCCUUUGAAAACUCUAGAGAUAGAGCGUUCCUCUUCGGGGA
rnacentral:rRNA from 1 species